rnacentral:rRNA from 1 species
CACCGCGGUUAUACGAAUAGGCCCAAGUUGUUAGACAUCGGCGUAAAGCGUGGUUAGGUAAUUAAAUAUCCAGUAAAGCCGAACGCCUUCUAGGCUGUCAUACGUGUAUUUGCGAAGGUGAGAAGCCCAAUUACGAAAGUAGCUUUAUAAUAACUGACUCCACGAAAGCCAGGAAA